rnacentral:rRNA from 1 species
UACGUAGGGGGCUAGCGUUGUCCGGAAUCAUUGGGCGUGAAGAGCGCGUAGGCGGCCAGAUAAGUCCGGUGUGAAAGUCACAGGCUCAACCUGUGAAUGCCGCUGGAAACUGUAUGGCUAGAGUCCGGAAGGGGCGAGUGGAAUUCCUGGUGUAGCGGUGAAAUGCGCAGAUAUCAGGAGGAACACCUAUUGCGAAGGCAGCUCGCUGGGACGUAACUGACGCUGAGACGCGAAAGCUAGGGUAGCAAACGGG